rnacentral:lncRNA from 1 species
AGAAUGCCAAAGAGCAGCAGGAUGGAUCCAGCAUCCUCUCCUGAUAAAAGAGGGCUAGAAGACGGGAGGCUCCGGGAAGUCUACUGGAGUCAUGAAGACACUGAAAAGUGAUGAAUCCACAUAACCAUGACACUGGAAAUGAAGUUUGAGUGGCAGUCAGAAUCUGGGAGGAAGCAUUGCUAAGUGAAAAUCUUAUGGAGCUUGACUAAAAAUCCCUGUCAGGAACCGUCAAAAGCUGUGUCCCUGACAUGAAAAAUCUUGCUGGAAGUUGAGAGAGGUUUAUGCCUACUCCGUGAUCCGGGAACACAAGACCUUUACCAACCAAAAAAGUGGAUAGCUGUUCUUCUGCUGUGAAGGUUAAUAAAGGCUAAAAGUUCAAGAAUAAGGCACCAGCAAGUUCAGUGUCUAGAAAGGACCCAGCGUUUGCUUCGAAGAUGGCGCCUUUCUGCUGCAUUCUCUGAAGAGGAUGGAUGCUGUGUCCUCACAUUGCAGAAGUCAGAAGGGGAAAAAGGGCCUAAGCUAGUUCCCUGUAGCCUUUUUGCAAGAACGCCAGAAGUGCCAAGCAAUUAACAACCCCAGAAGCAACCCUUAACCAAUGAUUAAAUAAAGUGGAUGAUUACAUACCCAAGCUCCUUCAACUCCCAGGGACAUAAUUCUGAGGGAUGGAAAACAAACUGAAACUGGCUCAAGUGAAUGCUCACUGGAAGGCUUACUGGAAAACUUACUGGAAGGAUGUGAGGACAUGUUCGGGAAUCUAUUUGCAGAAAACAUAUUCAGCCCUGUCCACCACAGCCAGCUGGCUGAAGAGCUCAAAAGGCAAGAAAUCAGCAAGAGAGAGAGAUGAAGCAUGAGAAAUGAGCAAAAAACACCCAGCACAUCAUAAUCUUGGACAGUUUAGCAGUACAUGAAAAUAGAUGGUCCUCGCCCCAAGGGACUGCAGUAACCCUGAAUAAACAGGAUGUCUCUCACUUUUAGCAGUUCUUUCUGUGCUAGUAUUGGGGAAAUAUAUUUUUGGCUGCAUGCAAAAUGGUAAAAGACAUCUAUUAAGAAAAUGAAAACAAUGCUUCUGUUUUAGACGAAGCUUUUGAAGGUUUAAGGAUCACCUAUUUAUUGACAAAAUUGUUUCCGUGGCUUAAAAAUAAAAUACAAACAAAUACUACAGGUAU